rnacentral:miRNA from 23 species
UAGGUAGUUUCAUGUUGUUGGGA